rnacentral:rRNA from 1 species
AUUGAACGCUGGCGGCAGGCCUAACACAUGCAAGUCGAACGAGUGGCGGACGGGAGAGUAAUGUCUGGGAAACUGCCUGAUGGAGGGGGAUAACUUCUGGAAACGGUAGCUAAUACCGCAUACCAUCAGAUGUGCCCAGAUGGGCUUAGCUAGUUGGUGGGGUAACGGCUCACCAAGGCGACGAUCCCGAGCUGGUCUGAGAGGAUGACCAGCCAGACGGGAACUGAUACACGGUCCAGACGCCUACGGGAGGCAGGAGAGGUGAAAAUGGCACAAUGGGCGCAAGGCUGAUGCAGCCAUGCCGCGUGUAUGAAGAAGGCCUUCGGGUUGUAAAGUACUUUCAGCGGGGAGGCGUUAGCCGCAGAAGAAGCACCGGCUAACUCCGUGCCAGCAGCCGCGGUAAUUC